rnacentral:tRNA from 1 species
GCCUGAGUGGCGGAAUUGGUAGACGCGCACGACUCAAACUCGUGUUCUUUGGAGUGUGGGUUCGAUUCCCACCUCAGGUA